UACGGGGGGGGCAAGCGUUGUUCGGAAUUACUGGGCGUAAAGGGCUCGUAGGUGGCCAACUAAGUCAGACGUGAAAUCCCUCGGCUUAACCGGGGGAACUGCGUCUGAUACUGGAUGGCUUGAGUUUGGGAGAGGGAUGCGGAAUUCCAGGUGUAGCGGUGAAAUGCGUAGAUAUCUGGAGGAACACCGGUGGCGAAGGCGGCAUCCUGGACCAACACUGACGCUGAGUGAGCGAAAGCCAGGGGAGCAAACGGGG
rnacentral:rRNA from 1 species